rnacentral:piRNA from 1 species
UUAUUGUUUGUGAAAUGAAGGGCUGAGC